UACGUAGGGUGCGAGCGUUAAUCGGAAUUACUGGGCGUAAAGCGUGCGUAGGCGGUUCCUCAAGUCCGUUGUGAAAUCUCCUGGCUCAACUGGGAGCUUGCAGGCGAAACUGCCGUGCUGGAGUGUGGGAGAGGUGAGUGGAAUUCCCGGUGUAGCGGUGAAAUGCGUAGAUAUCGGGAGGAAUACCUGUGGCGAAAGCGGCUCACUGGACCACAACUGACGCUGAGGCGCGAAAGCUAGGGGAGCAAACAGG
rnacentral:rRNA from 1 species